ACCCUGGUGGAAUCAUAGGACCACCUGGACAUCCAGGUCCAAAAGGUGAUAUGGGGCCUCCUGGACCUAGUCUUCCUGGAACACCAGGUCCGACUGGUGUUCCUGGAAACCCAGGUCCAAGGGGGCCAAAGGGAGAAAGAGGACUACCUGGUGUACAGGGAGCACCUGGGGAGAUGGGGCCCCCUGGAAUAGGCAUUCAGGGAUCACCAG